GCCGUAUCUGCUUGACCUGCUGCCCUGUACCAGUUGGACAAUCUCAACAUUUCACGUUUCAGUCUCGGAUAAUUCAGCCAGAUCAACAAUUUACGUAUAAUUAUCACCACCUUACGCCGUAGGAAGUGCAGCGUUCAGCGGUCUACUGCAAUGAGGGUCCAGUCCUGUGCCGCCCUGCUGUUCAUAGCGUCGACCCUCGUCUGGCGGGGAGCAGUGUCGUGGGAGUGUCCUGUGGCCAAGGACGUGCGUGGCCACCAAUGCCGCUCCGACCGUGACUGCACCAGCGACGGCAAGUGCUGCGCCAUUGACCACACCUACUCGUGCUGGUCGUUGGUGCAGUACAAGCGAGACAUGCUGAACUGCCCAGCCCGCUCCGAGAUCCAGUCGACCAGCUGCUACAAUGGGUGCUGGUCAGACAGUGACUGCCCGGGGGGAAGAAAGUGCUGUCAGAGUCACACAGACUGCGGCCAGACUUGCUACCCGCCUAUCAAGUAUGAGAAGGUGAAGGCCGUCAUCUGCCCGGCCCCCUCCGACCCCCGACAAUUCCGUUGUCACUACCCCUGCCACUCCGAUGCCGACUGUUUGAACAUGGGCCGGUGCUGCAACUUCCCUUGCGGCAAGUCGUGUUGGUGGUCUCCCAUGGAGGCCUUUAUCACAGCCACGGUGAGGGGGGAUUGUUCCUACCAGGAGAACGCUGCUAUAGGGGAUGAGGAUGUACGCUUGUCCUGCCAACUCAGCAUCAACUCUACCAGACCCGCGCAGGUAGAAUGGUACAAGGGUCACACGUCCAUGCCGAAUGGCCGCGGCCGAGUCCACAGCAUGAAGACCUGCGAAGAUCGAGAUUGUCGGAGUUUGGAAACGCAUCUAGUGUUUGACAGAAUACAGAGUGACGACGCGGGUACCUACAUGAUGGUCGUCACGUCAGGACGAGAGAAGUAUGGCCACGCCGUCAACCUGACAAUCUUCAACAAUCCUGACAUCGAGAUCCAGCCACAACUAUCCACUGUGUAUUCCGGGGACCAGGUGGACCUCACCUGCAGGAUUGUCAACCUCGACAAGACCAACCCCUACUAUAAAGCAGGCAUCAAACUCAAGUGGUGUCAUCGAGGGCUCAGCAAUGCAAACAACAAAGGUAUCCACUACCAUGGUUUUGGAGAGGAGACAAUUAGACUGACCAACGUUAGCGGUGAUGUCGUCAUAGGAUGUGGCCUCAACAGCACGGAGUGCACUGUGACGGCGGAGGUCAAGGUCCUGUCUAACGAUGACCACGGCUGCCCGGUGUCUGUGGACAUCAGGAAGUACAAGUGGCCAUGGACACCUGCCGGCAAGUCCCGAGUUGCACCGUGUCCUGUUGGCUAUUCUGGGAGAGCCAAUCGGUCGUGCAGUGAUGUCUCCACGUGGUUCUACCCCAACUACUACCGCUGUGUCAGCCACAGGAUAUCCCACGUGGACCGCGAGCUGGGUAAGAUAAAGACAGGGGCGCUGUCCGCCAGCUACAUCACACCGGUCCUGGUACAGCUGGACACGGCAGCAACGGAGCUGAAUCUGACCGGCGGCGACAUUGGCGGCAUCGUGUCUUCCAUCUCGGACAUCAUCAUUCUUGUGAAGGUCACCAGGCGGAAACUGGGGGAUGAUGGUCGUGAGUCCUUCAUUAACAUAGUGAACAGUGCCCUAGCCAAGGGUAAUCUACAGGAGUGGAGCAUAGUGCUGAAGGAGGCGCUCAACCAAUCAACAGUUAGCUCUCUGCUGCGCUCUGUCAGUGACUUCGGACUGUUGACGGCAGAAGAUCGCGUUGUCAACGACGACCCGGUUUAUGUCGUCAAGGAGACGAUACUAUUCGGCGCUGGGAAGACAUCACCCAAGGAUAUGGUGUUCCCCGAUUACACGAAUGACAAACAUGCAGAUGUUCCUAGAUACAGGAGGUCCAGCCCGGAGGGCGUGUCAGUAGCUGUAGAGAAGGCUACCCUCGUCAACCUGAUGGACGGCUCCUCUGACGAGGUCAAGUGGACAUACUCUAUUUACAAGACACUAUCAGAUAUCAUGAACCUGGACGACCACUCAGAUAGCAUCAGGUCUGUGUCCUUCAAUGAGCGGGAGCGAGUGAAGGUCGUGUCGGACAUUGUCUCCUUGAUGGUGGAGUCGACAGAGGGAGCUGAAUUGAACCCACCUAUUAGAGCCCGGAUGAUGAUGAGGACGGAAGAGGAUGAGACACCCCUCAAUAAUGCGGUGCACAAAGUGUGUGGCAGGUUCAUUCCUAUGGAUGGAAGCAACACGAGUCGCUGGGUGUCUGACGGUUGCCAGCUGGUGGUGGACAGCAGUUGGGUUGUGUGUGAGUGUAACCGGCUCGGUCACAUCGCAGUCCUCACAGUGGAACAAAUGUCUCCGAGAGCACAGCCGCUGUUCCUGACUGUGCUGAAAGCCGUGUGUUCAGUACCUCUGCUGGGGGCUCUGGUCAUCGUCAUUGUCGGGAUCAAACGGAGAGCGAUGACGGGCUGCACUACCUUGUCUCUCAACGUAUGCGGAGCCAUCGCUGGUGCUUACGUGGUGUUUGCUGUAGCCAUUGACAUCACAAAGGAUGAGGGUUUCUGCAUCGGCAUCGCCGUUGCACUGCACUACCUCUUUACGGUGAUGACUCUAGGGAUGUUAGCUCAGACGGUCUAUCAAGGUGUCAUCUUUUACCGCCAUCUCACCCUUCCUGUGGUACAUACACCGAAGUGGCCCUACGUAUGCCUCGUCCUGGCUGUGUGGGUGGUUGGCGCCGGGAUAGUGGCAGCAACAACACUGGUGGCUGGUCUUGAUAGCUACAGCACAACACAGCUAUGCUGGGUCAACACGAAAAGAGACGCAGCCUUAUCGUUACUGGGCACUACCGCGACGGCACUACUGACAAGGUUUUAGGAGCGUGAUGAUAGUACUGGACUUCUGUGCGGAGAUCACGCUGGUCCUGAUGGUGACGACACACGUUAACGGCAACACACUGGAGUACCUGUUCGCCGUCUGUACGGUGAUAAAGACCAUGAUUUUAGUCUAUGUUGAUGCGUAUGUUGUG
rnacentral:misc_RNA from 1 species